AUCUAGUAUAACCUUUUACUCUACGAGUAACGGGUAUAAAAAUUUUUGACAAGAAAGGAAGUAGAGAUAUGGGUCCGAAUUCGGUAUAGGGACAAUUUUCGCGUACUUCCAUGCGGAGGGAAAAGUGGAUGUGGUAAUUGCUGUGUUCACAAUGUGUCUAAUAUGGCUAAGGACUAAAGGUAACAACAAUUUAUUACAGUUAGGGCUAUUGCCAUCCAGGCCUUCAGCGUUUGACUUUAGCUUAAGUAAACAUUCAAGAACUUCACAUUGUCUAACACACAUAAAGGUAAAUCUAUUAUCACAGUCUGGUAAGGCAUUCAGGUACUUGUUACAUAUAGCUUCAGGUACAUCGAAUUGCACAAACUUCCUGUUCAGAUCGUUGACGUCCACUUGGUGCUGGGCCAGUGUAGUUAACAUCUUUAUAAUAAUUUAAAUAUGAAAGUGUCAGAAUUAUAAGCUAAGGUCAAAUCAUACGUCAGAAAGAUGAGGUCAUGCUUAGAGAAAACUGGUACAGAGACUUGGUCAUACAACGAAAUCUUACUAGGGACAGGUAUUGGUAAAAUGUGUCGGAGUAUGUAAAUUAACUACGAUACGUAGUUGUUGCUGUUGCUACGCAGACGCUUGGUAGAUGGAGCCAAAUGGAGUCAAAGAAGGAAGGCGACUUCAACUUGAGACGAUAUCGUGAGGACGGGGAGACUUUUUUAAAACCAGCCGUGGGCGAUGUUCAAUAUGUCCGCCAUUUUUAAUUUUUUUUACAAACAAAACCUUGUUUUCCUAACUUCAGACUUAUGUCUAAAGAUAUUGUAAACGGGAAUAUCCUGUGUUUUUUGGUUGAUUUACAAUAAAAAGAAGAAAACUGACAA